CACUCCCAACAGUGGGCAAAGGGGCACCUUAUCCUUGGUGGUGUUCUUAUACCAGUCAGGGGCAGAGCAGAUGACAAUGCUUUGUUCAUCCUAGUUUGAUGCCUGACUUGGUGGCCAGGCUGUCUUAUGCCUAGGACUCAUAA
ensembl:snoRNA LOC120099076 small nucleolar RNA SNORA48